GACGAACGCUGGCGGCGUGCUUAACACAUGCAAGUCGAACGGAAAGGCCCUGCUUUUGUGGGGUGCUCGAGUGGCGAACGGGUGAGUAACACGUGAGUAACCUGCCCUUGACUUUGGGAUAACUUCAGGAAACUGGGGCUCAUACCGGAUAGGAGCUCCUGCUGCAUGUUGGGGGUUGGAAAGUUUCGGCGGUUGGGGAUGGACUCGCGGCUUAUCAGCUUGUUGGUGGGGUAGUGGCUUACCAAGGCUUUGACGGGUAGCCGGCCUGAGAGGGUUACCGGCGACAUGGGGACUGAGAGACGGCCCAGACUCCUACGGGAGGCAGCAGUGGGGAAUAUUGCACAAUGGGCGGAAGCCUGAUGCAGCAACGCCGCGUGCGGGAUGACGGCCUUCGGGUUGUAAACCGCUUUGGCAUGUGACGAAGCGUGAGUGACGGUAAUGGGUAAAGAAGCACCGGCUAACUACGUG
rnacentral:rRNA from 1 species